CCUACGGGUGGCAGCAGUGAGGAAUAUUGGUCAAUGGCCGAGAGUCUGAACCAGCCAAGUAGCGUGAAGGAUGACUGCCCUAUGCGUUGUAAACUUCUUUUAUAUGGGAAUAAAAUGUUCCACGUGUGGGAUUUUGUAUGUACCAUAUGAAUAAGGAUCGGCUAACUCCGUGCCAGCAGCCGCGGUAAUACGGAGGAUCCGAGCGUUAUCCGGAUUUAUUGGGUUUAAAGGGAGCGUAGGUGGGGUGGUAAGUCAGUUGUGAAAGUUUGGGGCUCAACCGUAACAGUGCAGUUGAAACUGGCAGUCUUGAGUACAGUAGAGGUAGGCGGAAUGCGUGGUGUAGCGGUGAAAUGCUUAGAUAGCGCGAAGAACUCCGAUUGCGAAGGCAGCUCACUGGACUGCAACUGACGCUGAGGCACGAAAGUGUGGGUAUCGAACAGGAUUAGAUACCCUAGUAGUC
rnacentral:rRNA from 1 species